UAACCUUUCCUUUUCCUGCAUGAUCUGAUGCUCCAAAAUAGCCCCCUGCUUCUUUUGAGUUUUGGGGAAGAUUGUUUUGUCAAACUAGAAAUCGAUCCACGGCGUGAAAAAUCUGUGAUCCUCCUCUAGUUUGUUCAAAUUCUGCACUGAAUCCGACAUUCUUUUUUAUGACUGAAAUCCAUCCCAUCACUUGAGUACAGGGAGUCGUGGAAUUCUACAACGUGGCGAGCAGAUUGCGAAGUGUCCUGUAAUGCAGAGGAUGCAGAUUUUAGUUGCAUUUUAGGAUGGCUAAGCUUCAGUAGUAUGCACCGAAGGGGAGCCCAUCUUUCUUGAUGCUGCCAUCUUUAUUUCUUAGAUGAUAAUAAUGUUACUACACAACUUUCAAGCUGAAGAACCAAUGAUCUGAUGACACUACCCUCCUCCCUUUGUCCGGGCUUGGGACCGGCUGUGUAGAAGAAAUGAUGCUUAAUGCACGACACAGGCAGAGUUAUCAUGCCAUUGUUAAUACAAGUAUCAGAGCCUUUACUUGAAUGAUAGAACAAAGGCUAUCAAGGAGAAGGCACAUGGCAGCCAAGAGAUCCAGGAGAAAAUCUGACGAGUUAGAAGAAAACUUGCUAUGAUCCACACACCCAUUGCAGCGAUAAGAGCACUGAGCUUUCCAAACAAAAGUGCAAUUCUCGGGAAUGCAUUUUGAAGGAAAACUCCAGCAAAUGAAACUACGAAGCUUAUCAACACCGCAGCACCAAAGAGAUGUGUCAAAAGUGGAGGAUAUGAAGUGGGUGAACUGAUGAACAAGGCCAAAACUGCCUGAAAAGUAAGGCCAAGAAUUAUCUUCCCAAGAUUAGUCUGAGGGCUGUUGGGUGGUGGAGAGUUCUUCAUUCUGAUGCAAAUUGGAAGGCCAGCCGAUGAUGUGGAGGUUCCCCAGUUCCUUUUUAUUGGAGGAUGCAGUGUUCUAGAAUUCAUGAGAAGGUUCGGUGAUUCUAGUACAAGUUAUAGAGCAGAAAUUUCUUGGAAGUUAUGAAGGUGAGUUCUUUUGGCAUAAGAGUCUCUUUGUUUAUCAUAACAUGAUCUGCUUUGCUUUCUUGGUAAUUUCUUCUCCUUUGAAUGGAGGAAGCAAAAGGAUGAACACUUCAGAGCUUUUAAAAGCUACGGUUGGAUUCUUGACUUGAA